AGGGCAAGUCUGGUGCCAGCAGCCGCGGUAAUUCCAGCUCCAAUAGCGUAUAUUAAAGUUGUUGCAGUUAAAAAGCUCGUAGUUGAAUUUCGGGGUUCUACCGUUGGUCGGGCUUUGUCUGUACUGGCGUGUAGAAUUCCUACCUUCUGGGGAACCAUUAUGUUAUUAAUUUAGCGUAGUGGGAAACCAGGACCUUUACCUUGAAAAAAUUAGAGUGUUCAAAGCAGGCUUAUGUCUGAAUACAUUAGCAUGGAAUAAUAGAAUAGGACGGUGGUCCUGUUUUGUUGGUUUCUGAAUCACCGUAAUGAUUAAUAGGGAUAGUUGGGGGCAUUAGUAUUCAAUUGUCAGAGGUGAAAUUCUUGGAUUUAUUGAAGACUAACUUCUGCGAAAGCAUUUGCCAAGGAUGUUUUCAUUAAUCAAGAACGAAAGUUAGGGGAUCGAAGACGAUCAGAUACCGUCGUAGUCUUAACCAUAAACUAUGCCGACUAGGGAUCGGACGAUGUUAAUUUUUCUUGACUCGUUCGGCGCCUUACGGGAA
rnacentral:rRNA from 1 species